UGAUUUAUGCAUCUUAUACUUAAAUGCUUUGAGAUUCUUAAGGCUGCACUGUAUUGUGUUGGAAUAAAGUUUGUCAGUGCAUCUCAAGUUUUGUUUUGUAACUGGUGGUGAGAUUAACUAUUUUGUAUCACUUAUGCAAAACUUUGUGAAUAGCCAGAGAAACUAUUCCAUCGAGAGACUCGCUUAGCAUAUGUAGUGAGGCUUUAGCCGGAACCCGAGCCAGAAGCGACUCAAAGGCGCUAGGUUUUCUCCUCUUUUAUUCUUGUUCAACCAACAACUAACUUAAUCAAAUCUCUCUCUCUCUCUCUGCUGCCGCAACACCACCACGACCCAAACCCACAACAGCCGAAACACCACCUCUCAAACCCAUGGUGCACUAGUAGAUUAGAGGUAACUGAACGAAGAUAAAGGUAAAUCAGACCUUCCUCUUCUCUCAUUUUUUUCUCUUCUUUUAUUUUCGUUCAUUAGAGUAGCCAAUUAUUUUCAGCAGAGCAUAAUUGGGUUAGGGUUAAGAUUAUGUUUGAGUUUGGGUUUGAAUUUGUUUGUGUUGUACGUUGGAUCUAGGGUUUGGGGAGAGUAACAUAGGGAGGCGAUUUAGGUUUUCUUCAAAUCUUCUUCAAUUAUGAGAGGAUUGCAUGGCGAUUUAGGGAGUUCUUGGGGUUUUGGACUCGAUUCAGUGAUUUGGUCUUCCUAGGUGGUUUAUUGUGGUGUCAAAAGUUUGAGUCUUUUUCUUCUCGUCGUCCUUUGUUUAUUCUUUACAAUUUGUGUUAUGAUUGAGACAGGGUUUGCGGUGACUGUGAAUGGGAUGUGGCAGAAAGUGAUGGUGGUGGUUGUUUGGAAGGAAAGCUCAAAAUCAUAGGGGUUAAAGUGUAGUAGCUUUUUAAACCACAAGUGAUCAUGAAUGGUAAAAUCAAAUCUCAGGCAGUGAAGUGAAAUCUAUCCUCUAAAUUAAACAUGAGUUUAAUUGAAAUUUCACAUAAAAUUUUGUAACUAAUAUAUUAAAUAACCACUAUAAAAAUACUUUGUAAAAAAUGGGUAAAAUUAUUCAGUAAACACAUUUAGAAACUCCUAUGCAUUUCUUGUUAAAUAAUUAAUAUUUUCAUAACACUAAUUAUUCAUUGUAUAAAGAUACUAUGGUUAUUUAGGCCUGACGUAUAUAAAUACUGCGUCUUCUCUUUUUUUUUCCCAUCUCUUUCAAUACUGUUUUUUUGUGUGGUUAUUUUUAGCAGGGAUUGUGUUAAACAU
rnacentral:lncRNA from 1 species